UGGGGGGCAAGCAGAGAGUUGUAAGAAGACUCCUGAAUUUAUAAAAAGCAUGAAAUUCGAGCCCAGAGCCACUGCAGAGGACGGAGAUGCCCUAUGAGCAGCUCCCUCUGAAUGGGUCUCAGGAAGAUGAAAGCUUGUCCUAUGACGUGAAUGACCAGCUUCUGCUGGUCCAGCCAGAUCUGCCAGGCAACGGGGCUACAGUCCUGAAGGAUGUUUCAUAAGCCCUCAUUUUUCUCCUGGCCUUUGGAUGCAGAGGAGUACGAAUCUAUCAGAGGAUUCAGGUUACAGCACCACAGACCACGGCCCCUGACGGGCACUGAGCAUCCCACCCAGCUCAAUGGGUUAUCCCACCCAGCUCACUGACUUCCUGUUGAGGGAACUGACUCACACAAGUGCACCUGAGUCACAGAGAAUGUGAAGCUGAGCUGGGCCAGAUGAGGGCUGCAGACUUCAUGGUUUGUGGCUUAGCCUGUGGAAGUGGGGCCCCCGCAAGGAAAGCGGCGGUGGGUCAGGAUGCCUUGGGCGACCCUGGGAGUCAAAAGCCCACUGAGGUGCCAACUUGAGCCUUCGCCAUCCUCCAUGCCAUGCCUGCUCAUUCUUGCCCCCAUGCACCACCCCCUACCUUUCCUCUGCUGCACCUUUAGCUGCCCAGCAGGCCAGUCGUCCAUCCUCUGACCACUCUUCCUGACCACUCCCGCUCUCACUCUUCCCUCGCCCUCAAGCUCUCCUGGUCUACGCCACACAUCUUAGAACCUGAGUUCUGACAUCACCUCUGCUGUGGAGACCAUUUUCAGAGAGGGCACUUGGAGCCAGACAGAUGGGUUCACAUUCUGGGUCUACCACUUGAUAGCUCUCUGACCUCUGACCUCAGUCAGGCUGCUCAUACCCUUUGGGGCCUCAGUUUCCUUAUCCGCAACAUGAGCACGACAAUAUCUGGUUCAGAGUUGUCCUGAAGGACCGGCAAAGUGACCUAUGCGAGUGCCAGGAGCGCAGCCUGGAAUCUCGCACGUGGAAGAGGAAAUCUGGACACACAGAGCCACCAGGGACACGUGCACAGAGGAUAGGCCAUGUGAAGACACGCUGAGAAGGCCUGGAUUCCAGCCUCCAAAAUUGAGGCCUCCCACACUGAUCGAGGUCCCGAGGCAUCGAAGCAGAAAGGAGAUUCUCACCCCACGCCGUGCUGAGCCCGAAGGCCACAUCUUACACCUUGUCUCAUAGCCCCGACCCUGCUGCACAGAGAAGAGCAGCUUGCCUCUGGAGGAACACCAGCCGCAAAGACAUGGACAGGGCCCAGCCCUUAACCCGCUCCUGUGUGCCUGGCCCUGCCUACCACUGGAGCUGCCCUGACCUUCAGGGCUCCCGAUUUGUAUUUCCCACUUACUGUAACCAGCCCUGGGCUCUAGAAAUCCUGGCCUCUCCCCCAUCUUGCUGCCUGGAACCUUCUCUUCUAGGAAAGUCACCACCAGUAUGAGCACCCUGUGGCCACCAUCUGUCCUCAAGCAGUGACUGGAGUUUUCAC